AGAAAAUGCUUCCAGUCCAUGGUCAAUGCCGAUUGUGGCCUCGUGCAAGUAUACUGAAUUCUAGCCUGCACUCAGCAACAUGGUAGCUGCUGCUAAGCUUCUCCGCUCACAGUUGGCCGGCACCCAGUGAGCUUGAAUCACCUUAAUUGAUCCGACAAGAAGUUCUGUUUGAAAUUGCCGUAGCAGUUUUACUCCUAUAUUCAAAAAUUAGAGAGAAAUAGUAUGUUGGUUCUGACUCUGGCAUAUUGUCUGACAUUGCUAUAUCGUCUCCUACUUUUUGUAUGUUCUUCAAAAAUUGUUUAUUUAUCCUCUAUAUGAUCCUAAAACUUUUCACAAAUAUGUAUUUGAUUUUUCUCAGUUAAGUCCAUUUGGGUUCUGAAAGAUUGUAGGUCUUUUGAGACAACUUCUUCUUUCAUAUGAUUUUGGGUCUACUUCGUCUCAUUUUAACACCUUUAAUUACCAUUAUAUCGCGUAUGCAGAUCGGUGCAUUUGGGAAUUAUGUAACACACGAUAACCAUUUCAGGCACAUUCUCAUUUGGACAUACACAUACCAAAAAUCGUACGUAACUACUAUGUGUUACAUUGUUCAAGAGCAUAAACGGCCAAUUGGUUUCAUGGACGAACCUUAGGGGUUGAUUAACUAGAAAGCCAUGGAUAAUGGGGAGCAAAUAGUAUCUCUUAGGCCCGUAACCAUCAAUGCAGUUAGGAAAGAACACUCGGGCAUGUCAUUUAGUCAAACUAAAAUAUGACAAGAAUUUGUCAAAUCCAAGACAUUUGUGACAUUUCUUGUAAUUAAGAACUACUAGAGCUCUUGGCCAGAUGCCAUAGCAGCAUCCUUCAUUUGCUAAAAGCAAAAGGAAAUAAGGGAGGGAGAGACAAGACAUGGAUUAAUAAGAAAUAAAGCUGCCGAUUGAGCAGCUAUUUAGCAGAGUCUCUACUCCGACGAUCAUUGUUUAAUUGAAUUUCAAAUUCACUCACAAUAUUCAAUCUGUCACCAGUAAAAGUGUGGAAAGAUUAACUGACUUGGCAUGUUUCUGCAGAGUUAAAUAUGCUCAAUCUUAGCAGGUAAAGAUUGUCUUAUAUGGGCAGCUAUUGAUUUAGUUUCUCUAGGCAAAUUGCACAAUGAUUCCACUGAAGAAGGUGACUUCUCAAAAGAUACAGUAACCUUUUCAGCACCUGUGGACUGUUUUGGAGAUUUAGUUUCCUUAGUUUCCAUGCAAUGUUCAGUUUAGGAGAUUCCACAUUCCAAGUCCGAGGAAAACAGUUGCCUGAAAUUGGAAAAGAUGUCAAAAGAAAGUAGAAAAGUAAAGGAAGGUAUUAGCUAUUAGCUUACAUUUUUGUUGAGGCUAUAUAAGCAACCUUGGCAGCAUUUCUUCUGCCUGUUUCUAAAAUAUUAAAUAUUAUAGAAAAAAAUUUCAAUUUGUCAAAACAACAAAUAAUAAAAACCAGAUACAGUAGAGAUAAACAAGAUAGGUUGAGUAAUUAGAUUAUGAAGUAUUUUACCUUUUGAAAAGCAACUGUUGCCAGUGUCACUAGUGAAGAUGUGCAACAGCAGCUUCUGCUUCCUCUGCAGUCUUGUAUGCUCUAGCAGGACCUUUGAACAAUUCACCAGCCACCGCUGCGGUUAACCCAAAGUAUGUUGGCAUCAAGAACUGCGAGCAUCUUGCUGAUUCUGUCAGCAAUUUCUUCUGCCAUGGAAUCCUUGGCGAAUGAAUGUUGUAAACUCCAGGGCCAAUGCCAGCACCAUAAUUCACUCCCUCGCGUAACACGGAAAGUAGUUUCUCAUCUGACCUGGAGUUCUUGAUGGUGUCAUGUCAGCUUUAUUAUUCCAUUUAUGAUUGAUGUAAUGUAACCAAGACCUAAGAAAAUAUUAGAAAUAAUGAUUCUAAAGCAAAGUCUAAGUUAUGGCAAAUUGUUAACCAUAUUCAAAAAGUUAGAAAAUGAUGAUACCUAAAGAUAACUAAAUACAUAGUAAAUACCACUAGAAAUGAUAAUCCUAGACUUGUUAACCAUUUGUAUUAGUAUCUUUUUGCCCUGUGCAUUUCUUGAUUUGAAGAACUGUCUGUUAUGUAAGGGAUAUUCGUAGCUUGAAUUUGGUGGAUGGCCUUUUAACAAAAAGAUAACCAGUAGUUUUUUUGUUAUUCCAAUAUUUAGUUUCUGGAGGGUUUUGUGACAGUUUGCAAGAGCUUUCUGCUGCUAUUACUGCUUUUUGUAUUUUAUGUUUCAUCUAUGAUGCUUCCAGAAACCAUGACAGUAUAUCUUGUGAAUGGCAAACUGAAUAUGUUCCAAAUAUUUGAAGUUUCAGAAAAAACAAGAAGCAUUUAUUUCUCUUUUCCAUAUUCAUCCUUAUUGUUCCAAUUAGUGUAUCAUUAAUUCAUCCUUAAGGGGGAUGUGCAAAAGCCUUAAAAGACAGUUAAUAUGAAUUGAAUCGGUAGUUUUUUCAGUUUUCAUUUUGCAAAUUGGCACGGAAAUUGACAGUCGAUGAUGUCAUUCUUGCACCACUCUUAUGGAUUUUAUACUCUCAGUAAGUGACUUUUUUUUUGUUCUCUUUAUUCGUUUUGGCCCAGAGUAAUACCAUCAGUAACAAGAAUUUCAUGCAGUAACUGGCACAACAUGAAGAACUUUGGUUGUCUGAAUCUAACCUUCUCAAGUUGUAGAAAUUGAAGGAGAAGUCUUUCAUGGGGAAGCUGCAAAGUCCAAGUUGCAGAAGAAGCCAAGGUUGCUUAUAUGGCUUUAACAAAAUGUUAAAUUUUCAAAACUGAACCUUGCAUGGAUUCAAUGUCUAUUUCUGCUAGUCAAGAAAAGUUCAGAGAUGAAGAGGAGAUGGCUCGCUCUAAACAUAUCUCUCCACAGUCCAUAAGUGCUGAAAAGGUUAAUGCAUCUCCAAUUUCACAGGGCAUGUAAGAGCUCAUUGUAAAUGAGAAAUCACAUUCUUCACCUGGAUCAUUGUGCCAUUUGCCUAGAUAAACUAUAUCAUCAGAUGCAAUGACACCAUCCAAUUCAUCUACUAUCUCUAAUGCAAAUUCUAGUGCAACGAAGAUUGCAGAAACUAAAAGGUACCUCCUUUGUGACAGGGUCAGUGUACAGGUCCGUUCCGGAUGAGGUCUUCCCCACAGCUCUGGCAUUUGGCUAAGAGCUCUAGCAGUUCUUAAUCACGAGACAUUUGUAAAUGUGUUGGAGGCCUCAGACGCAAAGAUAUUAUGCUUCCUGAUGGAUUUCCCUUUAUAAUGUACUAUCUUUUUUGCUUUAUUUUUCGAGUUUAAUUAGCGCUUAGGAUUUGCUUUAAAAUCUCAAAACUUCAUUGUUGCUCCUUAGAAAGUAUUGAAAGAGACAAAUUUGGCAUUCUU